GUGCCAGCCGCCGCGGUAAUACCGGCAGCUCAAGUGAUGUCCCAUAUUAUUGGGCCUAAAGCGUCCGUAGCUGGCCGACCAAGUCUCCCGGGAAAUCCACCCGCCCAACGGGUGGGCGUCCGGUAGAAACUGGCCGGCUUGGAACCGGAAGGCUCAGAGAGUACGUCCGGGGUAGGAGUGAAAUCCCGUAAUCCCGGACGGACUACCGAUGGCGAAAGCACUUCGAGAAAACGGAUCCGACAGUGAGGGACGAAAGCUAAGAUCGCGAACCGGAUUAGAAACCCGAGUAGUCC
rnacentral:rRNA from 1 species